AAAUAGAUGGCUUAGUGGAUAGAGCAUGGGCCUGGGAGUCUCAAGGUCAUGGGUUCUAAUCCCGGCUCUGUCUU
rnacentral:tRNA from 1 species